CGCACGGGUGAGUAACACGUAUCCAACCUGCCGUCUACUCUUGGCCAGCCUUCUGAAAGGAAGAUUAAUCCAGGAUGGCAUCAUGAGUUCACAUGUCCGCAUGAUUAAAGGUAUUUUCCGGUAGACGAUGGGGAUGCGUUCCAUUAGUUUGUUGGCGGGGUAACGGCCCACCAAGACUACGAUGGAUAGGGGUUCUGAGAGGAAGGUCCCCCACAUUGGAACUGAGACACGGUCCAA
rnacentral:rRNA from 1 species